CGGACGGGUGAGUAAUGUCUGGGAAACUGCCUGAUGGAGGGGGGUAACUACUGGAAACGGUAGCUAAUACCGCAUAACGUCGCAAGACCAAAGAGGGGGACCUUCGGGCCUCUUGCCAUCGGAUGUGCCCAGAUGGGAUUAGCUAGUAGGUGGGGUAACGGCUCACCUAGGCGACGAUCCCUAGCUGGUCUGAGGGGAUGACCAGCCACACUGGAACUGAGACACGGUCCAG
rnacentral:rRNA from 1 species